GGGAAUUAAAAUCGAUUUUUUGUAAUUUAUUACAAAGUCAAGGCUUGUUAACAGAUUCAAUGUCCAUUGAGAAUGUAGUUGAAGAGUUUGCACACUCUGUGACAUAAUCAAUAUGUCGUCUAGAUAAAUUAUCAUUCUUACUCCCCUGCUUCAAAGUAGGGAUAUUACUGGUUUGAGUAAUUUGGUGAAACACCAAGUUGCAGAGGAUAAACCAAAUGGCAAUGAUUUGAAUUGCCAUUUCUUCCCUUGCCAUAGGGACUGUAAAUAUUUCUGACAUGAGUGGUGGAUAGGUACCGUGAGGUAUGCAUCCUUCAAAUCUAUUUUGAUCAACCAGUCGUUGAAUAUCAAUAGGUCUUUGAGGUAAUAAAUUCCCUCCAUUUUGAAAUGGUG